rnacentral:tRNA from 1 species
GGUUGUGGCUCAGUGAUAGAGCAUUCACCUAGCAUGUGCGAGGCCCUGGGUUCAAUCCUCAGCACCA